rnacentral:rRNA from 1 species
UACCAGCACCCCGAGUGGUCGGGACGAUUAUUGGGCCUAAAGCAUCCGUAGCCGGUCCUGCAAGUCUUCCGUUAAAUCCAGCUGCUCAACAGAUGGGCUGCGGGGGAUACUACAGGGCUAGGAGGCGGGAGAGGCAAGCGGUACUUUAUGGGUAGGGGUAAAAUCCGUUGAUCCAUAGAAGACCACCAGUGGCGAAGGCGGCUUGCCAGAACGCGCUCGACGGUGAGGGAUGAAAGCUGGGGGAGCGAACAGG